UACAUGUGGGGCAAGCGUUGUUCGGAAUUACUGGGCGUAAAGGGCUCGUAGGUGGCCAACUAAGUCGGACGUGAAAUCCCUCGGCUUAACCGGGGAACUGCGUCCGAUACUGGAUGGCUUGAGUUUGGGAGAGGGAUGCGGAAUUCCAGGUGUAGCGGUGAAAUGCGUAGAUAUCUGGAGGAACACCGGUGGCGAAGGCGGCAUCCUGGACCAACACUGACACUGAGGAGCGAAAGCCAGGGGAGCAAACGGG
rnacentral:rRNA from 1 species